UGGGGAAUUUUGGACAAUGGGCGAAAGCCUGAUCCAGCAAUGCCGCGUGUGUGAAGAAGGCCUUCGGGUUGUAAAGCACUUUUGUCCGGAAAGAAAUCCUUGGCUCUAAUACAGUCGGGGGAUGACGGUACCGGAAGAAUAAGCACCGGCUAACUACGUGCCAGCAGCCGCGGUAAUACGUAGGGUGCAAGCGUUAAUCGGAAUUACUGGGCGUAAAGCGUGCGCAGGCGGUUUGCUAAGACCGAUGUGAAAUCCCCGGGCUCAACCUGGGAACUGCAUUGGUGACUGGCAGGCUAGAGUAUGGCAGAGGGGGGUAGAAUUCCACGUGUAGCAGUGAAAUGCGUAGAGAUGUGGAGGAAUACCGAUGGCGAAGGCAGCCCCCUGGGCCAAAUACUGACGCUCAUGCACGAAAGCGUGGGGAGCAAACAGGAUUAGAUACCCUGGUAGUCCACGCCCUAAACGAUGUCAACUAGUUGUUGGGGAUUCAUUUCCUAGUAACGUAGCUAACGCGUGAAGUUGACCGCCUGGGGAGUACGGUCGCAAGAUUAAAACUUAAAUGAAUUGAC
rnacentral:rRNA from 1 species